rnacentral:lncRNA from 1 species
AGUAGACGUACAGCCGCCGACUACCUCGCAACUUAUCGAAACGACGGGAACACAGGAGGUGCCGUGCUACAGAUCGCCUAUGCUAUCGCAAAGUUAUCAGCAGGGUUGGACUCGCCCAUUUUAUACCUAUAGGCCGCCACAUUAUAGCUGCUACCCCCGACCUCGGUUAACGGACUACCAAACACAGAGGGGAAGACCUAUACCAAGAUUUGCACCACCACACGCUUAUAGCAGACCACAAAGGGAUCAGCGCUUUCGGAAUCCAUUUCAGCCUCCGCCUUCACAGCGUAUGUUGGGUCGGUCACGAGCUAUUCCACCACGAAAUUUCCAAAGUACAGCGAAUGAUCGGAGCCGAGAUGGCACAAACUCUUGACUAAUGCGGGAUCAAUUCAUUUUAAAACGGUGUAUCGGGUCGGACAACAAUCAAGCAAAGCUGUCGCACGCUAUUGUUUCUGUAAAGGGGAAGCGGAAACACAAUAUUAAACCUAAAUCCAAAAAUAUCGUUCAAUUUAAAGGAUUGUCGGAAACAAAAUGGGCCAAGGACACAGAUCCCAGCCUGAAAUGCGUAAUAAAUGGACGUUUAAGCUACUUAACGAUUGACAC